GACGUAGGGCGCGAGCGUUGUCCGGAUUUAUUGGGCGUAAAGAGCUCGUAGGCGGUUUGUCGCGUCGUCUGUGAAAACCCACGGCUCAACUGUGGGCUUGCAGUCGAUACGGGCAGGCUAGAGUGCGGUAGGGGAGACUGGAAUUCCUGGUGUAGCGGUGAAAUGCGCAGAUAUCAGGAGGAACACCGGUGGCGAAGGCGGGUCUCUGGGCCGUAACUGACGCUGAGGAGCGAAAGCGUGGGGAGCGAACAGG
rnacentral:rRNA from 1 species